rnacentral:rRNA from 1 species
UGGGGAAUAUUGGACAAUGGGCGAAAGCCUGAUCCAGCCAUGCCGCGUGUGUGAAGAAGGUCUUCGGAUUGUAAAGCACUUUAAGUUGGGAGGAAGGGUUGUAGAUUAAUACUCUGCAAUUUUGACGUUACCGACAGAAUAAGCACCGGCUAACUCUGUGCCAGCAGCCGCGGUAAUACAGAGGGUGCAAGCGUUAAUCGGAAUUACUGGGCGUAAAGCGCGCGUAGGUGGUUAGUUAAGUUGGAUGUGAAAUCCCCGGGCUCAACCUGGGAACUGCAUUCAAAACUGACCGACUAGAGUAUGGUAGAGGGUGGUGGAAUUUCCUGUGUAGCGGUGAAAUGCGUAGAUAUAGGAAGGAACACCAGUGGCGAAGGCGACCACCUGGACUGAUACUGACACUGAGGUGCGAAAGCGUGGGGAGCAAACAGGAUUAGAUACCCCCGUAGUCCCUGAGCGGGCUGGCAAGGCGCAU